ACGCUCGACACCUACGGGCGGCAGCAGUGGGGAAUAUUGCACAAUGGGGGAAACCCUGAUGCAGCGACGCCGCGUGAAGGAAGAAGUAUUUCGGUAUGUAAACUUCUAUCAGCAGGGAAGAAAAUGACGGUACCUGAGUAAGAAGCACCGGCUAAAUACGUGCCAGCAGCCGUGGUAAUCUGAGCGGGCUGGCAAGGC
rnacentral:rRNA from 1 species